rnacentral:rRNA from 1 species
CUGGCGGCAUGCCUUACACAUGCAAGUCGAACGGCAGCACGGGAGCAAUCCUGGUGGCGAGUGGCGAACGGGUGAGUAAUAUAUCGGAACGUGCCCAGUCGUGGGGGAUAACGUAGCGAAAGCUACGCUAAUACCGCAUACGAUCUAUGGAUGAAANCGGGGGAUCGCAAGACCUCGCGCGAUUGGAGCGGCCGAUAUCAGAUUAGGGUAGUUGGUGAGGUAAAGGCUCACCAAGCCGACGAUCUGUAGCUGGUCUGAGAGGACGACCAGCCACACUGGGACUGAGACACGGCCCAGACUCCUACGGGAGGCAGCAGUGGGAAUUUUGGACAAUGGGCGCAAGCCUGAUCCAGCAAUGCCGCGUGCAGGAUGAAGGCCUUCGGGUUGUAAACUGCUUUUGUACGGAACGAAACGGUGAGCUCUAAUACAGUUUGCUAAUGACGGUACCGUAAGAAUAAGCACCGGCUAACUACGUG